rnacentral:rRNA from 1 species
AAUAGAUACCCUGGUAGUCCACGCCGUAAACGAUGAGUGCUAAGUGUUAGGGGGUUUCCGCCCCUUAGUGCUGCAGCUAACGCAUUAAGCACUCCGCCUGGGGAGUACGGCCGCAAGGCUGAAACUCAAAGGAAUUGACGGGGGCCCGCACAAGCGGUGGAGCAUGUGGUUUAAUUCGAAGCAACGCGAAGAACCUUACCAGGUCUUGACAUCCUCUGACAAUCCUAGAGAUAGGACGUUCCCCUUCGGGGGACAGAGUGACAGGUGGUGCAUGGUUGUCGUCAGCUCGUGUCGUGAGAUGUUGGGUUAAGUCCCGCAACGAGCGCAACCCUUGAUCUUAGUUGCCAGCAUUCAGUUGGGCACUCUAAGGUGACUGCCGGUGACAAACCGGAGGAAGGUGGGGAUGACGUCAAAUCAUCAUGCCCCUUAUGACCUGGGCUACACACGUGCUACAAUGGAUGGUACAAAGGGCUGCAAGACCGCGAGGUUUAGCCAAUCCCAUAAAACCAUUCUCAGUUCGGAUUGCAGG